rnacentral:lncRNA from 10 species
CAGCCUCCCGAGUAGCUGGGAUUACAAGCGUACACCACCACGCCCAGCUAAUUUUUAUAUUUUUAGUAAUGGAGUUUCACCACGUUGGCCAGGCUGCUCUCAAACUCCUGACCUCAAGUGAUCCUCCCACCUCGGCCUCCCAAAGUGCUGGGACUACAGGCAUGAGCCACUGUGCCCGGCCUCACAUUCAUAUUUCUUUGGGUUCAGUACAAGUUGCAUCCUGCGGUCACUGCCUUUAGAGGCCCCUGUCCUGUGUGAAUGCUGCUUAUGGGGACAUGUGCCCCCCAGGAUGGCGAAUCUCAGCCCUCUGAAGCAGGGGAAGUAAGACAAAGUAGUGAGAUUGCAUCCAGAGAGGAACGGGCGAGGGGAAUUCAGGAUUGAGGCGUGGUCAUGAGUCCUUCUCACACUGCUCCUGGCAGCGCUAUGAGAGGUGGUGGCACAGGACAUUUGUAGGAUGCCCUGGAGGAGAAGGGCGGGCAGGAACUGGGCCAGCAACGAUGACAAAGCACAGUCUCCAGCCACAGGAAAGCAAAGGGAAUGACAAAAGUACUAGCAGAACCCCCAGCCCAACCUAGACCACGGGGUGCUCCAGAGAAACAGCCAAUAGAUAGAAAUAUCAGCAUUCAAAGAGAUUUACUGAAGGCACUGGCUGAUGUGAUGGUGGGGUCUGGUGAGGCGAGUCCCAAACUGCAGAGCAAGCCUUCCUCAGAGGCAGCCGGGGCGACUCAGACAGGAGCUGGCGCUGCGGUCCACAGGCGGAGUUGCUUCUUUUCAAUGAAUUGAUCAGACCCACCCAGAUUAUUCGGGAGAUGGGCUUCACUUUGUUGCCCAGGCUGGUCUCCAACUCCUGGCCUCUGGCGAUCCUCCUGCCUCAGCCUCCCAAAGUGCUGGGAUGACAGGCAUGAGCCCUCACACCUGCCCUAACAUUUUGAUGGAUGAAGCCAAAUUGCCCUUCCAGAAGCUUCUGCUUGUGCCCAGGCACAUUGACAUGAGGGCCUCGAAUCCUGCCUGAGCUCCAUGAAGGCUGCAGUGACUUGAGUUGGCGUGAGUGGAAACCUCUGCCUCCACAGUGAAAUGUCACUGACUACUGGAAAUUAGGCGAAUGCAUUAGUGCACAGCAGAGGUGGCACGGGGAGCGGUCAAUGUGUGUCAGUCUCCCCUGGCGGACGGUGGCGAGCUGAGAUGAGGUUGUGUCUGCCUUUGGGAGGUGGGGGAGAGCUUGGCCGAUGAAGAGGGGUGGGGGUGGCGUGGUACGGGAGCUUGGUUGAGUAGAAGGAAUGGGUGAGGGGGAGGUGGACCAGGAGGAUUCCUGAUACAAUAUAAAGACCCAGCUACUGGAGCAGGGGCGCAUUUGCUGACCGUGCUAAUGUUGGUUCCUACCCAUGUUUGUUGACCCCAAAGUUUACUUGGUGACAAUAUCGAGGCCAGCUGAGGACUAAAGAGAAAGGUGGUUGGUGACGGGGCUCCCAGGAUGGGGCCUGGGGGAUGAUGGGGAACAGCUUCUAUCCUUCCCUUCUCCAAUGUGUUUGAUGUCCUUAUUCUAGGCUGGGCUGGCCUGAUAUUGGGCAUCAGUGGCAGCUCUUUGAGCACUUUGCGUUUGGGGCUGAGGCUCUCGAGAACAUUUUCUUGGGAACUUUUACUGUUCUUUCUCCUGCAUGGAGAGGCUUUCCCCAUCUGCUUCCAGGUGGCUUUGCAAUUGAAACUCAACAACGCUGAAGCCCUUCUUCCACACAACCAUGCUGCGGCCUCUCCGUUGCCUUUCCACAUCCCUCCAAUUAAGCCUUUGGCUUCAUUUAUGCCUCAACAUCCUCCUUCUAGUUCCACUGUGAAAUGUUAUGAGAUAAUCCAAGGGAAAUAUUUUCACUUCGAGAUCACCACAGGUUGCACCCUGAAUCUCUGGGUUUGGUGUGGCUGAGCAGAUGGGAUGAAGUGCCCUGGGCACACCUAGCCUGUUCACCCCUUGGCGAACAUGGUGAAACCCCCAUCUCUACUAAAAAUACAAAAAUUAGCUGGGCGUGGUGGCACGCGCCUGUAGUCCCAGCUACUCAGGAGGCUGAGGCAGGAGAAUCGCUUGAACCCGGGAGGCGGAGGUUGCAGUGAACCGAGAUGGUGUCACUGCACUCCAGCCUGGGCAACGAGAGCAAAACUGUCUCAAAAAAAACAAAAACAAAAACAGGGUCAUCGGGCCACCCUGGGCUGGUCGACACAUGAGGAUAGGCGGCUUCCUCACCAGCCUCUCAUUCCUGCCACAGAUCCCAGCACUCUCUAGGGUCACUCAGCACUGAGACCAGAGGUUGACCACUGUUUGUAACUGUGUUUAUGCUGUUGCUUUUCUUAUAGUUAAGAAGAAAGCAAACUAUUUCCACUACCUGUGUCUCUAUCAAAAGUGAAAAAUAAAAGCAGGUGGAGGGUCUCUGGGUUUCAGGGAAAGGGCUUUCCUUCAUACCGAGCAGCACACAGGAAGGCGUGGGCCAAAAUCACUGGUGUCCCGGCUGGGCGCGGUGGCUCACGCUUGUCAUCCCAGCACUUUGGGAGGCCGAGAUGGAUGAAUCACCUGAGGUCAGGAGUUUGAGACCAGCCUGGCCAACAUGGUGAAACCCCAUCUCUACUAAAAAUACAAAAAUUAGUCAGGCGUGGUGGCGGGCACCUGUAACACCAGCUACUCAGGAGGCUGAGGCAGAAGAAUCGCUUGAACCCGGGAGGUGGAGGUUGCAGUGAGCCGAGAUGGCGCCACUGCACUCCAGCCUGCACCACAAGCGUGAAACUCUGUCUCAAAAAAACAAAAACAAAAACAUGAAACAAAAUCACUGGCGUCCACAGCAGCUGGGAGAGGCAAGGACGGGACCUCUGCAGAGCCUGCAGAGUGAGCACGGCCUCUCUGGAUUGGACUUCUGGCCUCCACACCUGCGAGGGAACACACCUGGGUGGCUCAACGCCCUCAGUCUGUGGUGCUUUCUCAGAGCAGCCGCAGGAAACCAAUCCAGCGGGUCGCCUGAUCAUCAACAUGGACGAGAGGGAAGCAAGGACCUGUCGCCUCAGGACACUGUCAACACUUAACUGUGGUUUGAAUGUUUGUGUCCCUCCAAAAUUCACGUUGAAACUUAAUCCCCAGUGCAACAGUACUGAGGAGUGAGAAGGCCGUAAUGGCUCUGCCCUCCGGGGAGGGAUUAGAGCCUCAUAUAUUAUAUUAUUUUAUUUUGAGAUGAGAUUUGUAUUAUUUAUUUAUUUAUUUUUUUGAGACAGAGUCUCACUCUUGUCGCCCAGGCUGGAGUGCAGUGGCGUGAUCUUGGCUCACAGCAACCUCCACCUGCUGGGUUCAAGCAAUUCUCCUGCCUCAGCCUCUCAAGUAGCUGGGAUUACAGGUCCUGCCACCACGCCCGGCUAACUUUUUUGUACUUUUAGUAGAGACGGGGGUUUCACCAUGUUGUCCAGACUGGUCUCGAACUCUUGACCUCGAGUGAUCCACCCACCUUGGCCUCCCAAAGUGCUGGGAGGCGUGAGCCACCACGCGUGGCCUUGAGAUGGGAUUUUGCUGUGUUGCCCAAGCUGGUGUUCAAUGGCACAAUCUUGGCUCACUGCAACCUCCACCUCCUGGGUUCAAGUGAUCCUCCCUCCUCAGCCUCCCGAGUAGCUGGGACCACAGGUGUACACCACCACACCUGGUUAAUUUUUAAAUUUUUUGUAGAGACAGGUUUUAGCCAUGUUGCCCAGGCUGGUGUUGAGUUCCUGAGUUCAAGUGAUCUGUCUGCCUCAGCCUCCCAAAGUGCUGGGAUUACGGGCAUAAGCCCCCGUGCCUGGCAGGAUUAGAGCCUUAUUAUAAAAGGGCUUCCCUUCCUCCAUGUGAGGACACAGCAUUUUACCCCUCUGGAGGAUGUGGCAACGAGGUGCCAUCUGGGAAGCGGAGAUCCUUGACCUUGGACUUCCCAGCUUCAGAACUGUGAGAAAUAAAUCUCUAUUACUUAUAAAUCACGCAGUCUGCGGUGUUUUGUGACAGCAGCAGGAACAGAUGAAAACAACACAAAAUACGUAACGCUUUUGUCUUGUGUUCACAAUUGCCUUUGGGUCACUGUAGCAGGACGGGGCCCCACUCAGCCUACGGAAUAGCAGAGGGCCUUGCCCACUCUACAGUGCAAAUACCACGUGGAGCUCCUCAGCUGAACAAAGAGAAAACUCGGCACAGAGGGAGUGAAUGAUUUGCCCCAGGUCUCGUGUAUGAUCAAUGGCAAAGCUGGACGUGAAAACCAAUAACGAAAAAGAAAGAGUAAGCCCUGGGUGAUGAUGAUUAAUGGGUCUCAUUCUGGGUGGGCGGUGGCAGGGCCCCAGCCUCAAGUAUUGCCUUCAAAAACAAUCAUUAGAUCCAAAUAGCAUCUGAUUGUUGUUGGAACUUUUGGUUCUUUAGAAAGGAUGAACAUCUUUUCCUAUGCUUUACUGGCCAUUUGAAUUUCUUUGCAGAAUUGACUGUCUCAGUUUCAUAUGAGAGGAGCAAACCUCUUUUGAAAACGAUAUAAAUGGAAAACAUUAAUUCUUUUUCUAUUCAUUAUUAUUUUUUGAGACAGGCUGGAGUGCAGUGGUGCCAUCAUGGCUCACAGCAGCCUUGAACUCCCAGGCUCAAGCAAUUCUCCCACCUCAGCUUCCCAAGUAGCUGGGACCACAGGUGCGCACCAUCACGCCUGGCUAAUUAAAAAAAUUUUUUUGUAGAGAUGUGGUUUCUCUACAUUGUCUAGGCUGGUCUUGAACUCCUGGACUCAAGUGACCCUCCCUACUUGGCCUCCCAAAGUGCUGGGAUUACAGGUGUGAGCCACUGCACUCCGCCAAAAC